rnacentral:rRNA from 1 species
UACAGAGGGUGCAAACGUUGUUCGGAAUUACUGGGCGUAAAGGGCGCGUAGGCGGCCCACUAAGUCAGACGUGAAAUCCCCCGGCUUAACCUGGGAACUGCGUCUGAUACUGGAGGGCUUGAGUAUGGGAGAGGGAUGUAGAAUUCCAGGUGUAGCGGUGAAAUGCGUAGAUAUCUGGAGGAAUACCGGUGGCGAAGGCGGCAUCCUGGACCAUUACUGACGCUGAGGCGCGAAAGCUAGGGGAGCAAACGGG